rnacentral:tRNA from 1 species
GAGGGUAGAGCUCAGGGUAGAGUGCCUGCCUAGCGCACACGAGGUCCUGGGUUCAAUCCCCAGCACCUCCA